GGCGGGGUUCAAAUGUGGCGCUGUGGAAAUUUCUCUGCGCUCGGACAAGGUGGCUUUUUUUGUGGCGUUUCCAAAUUGAUAAUUGAAGAUCAAACCAGGUGCAGUCCGCAGAGUGACAUCGCCACAGAAUAAAAAGAGGCUCCGGAAGGGACAGCGAAAGCGGUGAGUCAGUCAAUCAAGAGUGGACAGUGCUCACAAUCAUAUAGGGUAAGUCUAAAUAAAUAAAAGAAAAAUGACCAGCAAAAGGCACAUUUCCUAUUGAAUAAGGUAAUGUGCUCAUUUAAAUAUUAAAAUGGCUGUAAACUAUGAGCUUUUCAUACCUACUCCUUCUGGGUGUGGCAUUUUUCAUGUCGCCUUUUUGGUCAUCUUUGAGUUAUCCAAAGUAAGGUAGAAAAAUCACAUAGUUCAGAAUUAACCCACUUUAGUAUACACUUUUGUGUAACUCAGCAUUUCACACAGGUUUAACUACACAUGCCCUAAUGAAAGCUUUAAAAAUUUCUGUAUGGAUUAUUUUACAGAAAUACGCUAGUAUUUUUCAGUCUAACCUCUAUGUUCCAUCUGUAGCAUAUGGUAAGGUUAUCACAGCCAAUAAUUUUAAAUAUUAUCCCUGUACUUAUUCCUGUAUGUAUGUCUGAAAAAUGCUGGAGUAUUCCUUUAAAGAUAUCAGGCUAUGCUGUCAGUCCUGUUGCGCUCCCUUGGCCAAGAACGCCAUUUCAAAGAAUUUAAUGUUCCAUUGCUUUUCUGAAUGACCAAGUCAGGGGCAGUUAAAGUGCGUCAUUUGGGGCCUGUUCAGCGCAGUUCAGGCUUUGCUAGGCAGCUGAGGCCUGCCCGUCUGCGUAGCCAGGCCGCCAGGCUCCUCUGCAGCUUCAGGAAGUGGAGCUCACAGGAGAGAUGACACAGCUAAAAUUAACCAGCCCGUCGCCUGCUGCUGAAUGACAGGGCAUAUAAAUAGCAGACAGGAAGGACCUGUGUUAGCAUGUAUCAUUAGAUACUGUGCGCAGUACCAAAAACAGUACAGAGUGGAAAAUGGCCCUGUUAGCAAACAGUGGAGAGAAGAAAAGAAUUUAACAUGCUGGUAGUGAGCAUUUCGAUAGCGGGCACUUAAUAAAGGAAAUAAUGUUCUAAAUGUGGAAGACAUUCAGACCUUCGACCCGAGCACUGUAGAUGUUUGUCAUUUCAGAAGGAGGGUAAAUUUCCUGCUUCCGAAUAGCUUUGUUGGAUUAAAGCUCUUUGAAGGCAGCCUCCAUUGUUUAAACAAACAACUUAGUGUCUAAGGUAUGUGUGUGGCUAUGAAUGUGAGACUUGGCUUCUUAUGGAGAUGUAAGCGCAUGUAGAUACCCAGCACAUCUCCUUUUCUUCUACGCAUUAUUUUUCUGCUUGAACUUCUCCAGAUCAUUGGAACCAUGCAAUGCAGUCAGUACUCCAUACAUUGGACUUCCUUUGGUCUUCCUUUUGAGCUUUUUUUGGUCUCAGCUGAGCAAAGGGACGGACUGUAUUGAAAACUGAUACAUGUCAAUUAUCCCUUCUCUUGAUACAUGUGCUGUAAGAGACAAGAAUUACUACAUUCAGCAGUUCUGAAGUUUUUGAUCAGCGCAUGCUAAUUGGAUUUUCAACUGUAAUGGGGCCUUCAUCCAGCACAUUACUUCUCAGUAACAUAAUACAAUAUUUGGUGUGUCUCCGAAUCCACCAUACAUCUGUUCUCAGCAUUUAUAGAAUGGUGCUUGGACUCACUUUGGGAAUUAAUCCCAUAACCUACUAUGUUAAGCUUGUUCGAGCUUGCACUGUGGCAUGCAGUAUUCACUAAAACACUUCUUUUAUGCUUGUUUGGAUCCUGUUGGAAUUUCCAUGUAAGAAAGAGGAGCUGAGAUGCUUUACCUCCCUGCAUACAAGAACAUACAAGACCCACACUACCAUUCAAAAGUUUAGAAUCACUUGUUAUUUUAAUAAAAGUUCAAUGCAAUAAGCGUAGAUAGAAAUGUACUCACUAAAACAUAAACUAAUGGAUUAUCAUUAGUUAAAAGCUUUUGGGAAUAACAGUAAGUUGGCAGUAGCAAAUGUUAUUAAAUAAUCAACUAUAAUUACUCCACUUUCAUGAAAUUACUAUAAAUACAUAUUUAUUUUCUCACCACUUUUCAAAUCUAAGGCAUUUAUGUUAAUUUUAAGUUAAUUCUUGAUGCAGCUUUCUCAAUUAUUAUCUACAUUUCUCUAUUUGCAACUUCUUACAAGUUGUUUAAAACAUAUAGAUUAUAAGCAUCAUAUUACAGUAAUUUUUAUAAAACGGAUGGUACUGAACCUGAAAGCUAAUUGGCUGAGCUGCCUUUGAAGCCGUUGUAAAAUAUUCAAUAUAUGCUCAUCUAUGACCAGUUCACACCAACAGCUAGAUCUGCCUUAAGUUUAUUAAACCGACUGGGAAAACAAAUGUGUGGCACCAUUACCUUGAUGUUAACACAACACAGGAAACCACAUAAAGGCAGAGGAAAUUAGCAUUAUCUUUGUGGUGGUAAUUUUGUGAGCAAAAGCUACUUAUA